rnacentral:rRNA from 1 species
CAGUCGCCGCGGUAAUACAGAGGGUGCGAGCGUUAAUCGGAUUUACUGGGCGUAAAGCGUGCGUAGGCGGCUAAUUGAGUCGGAUGUGAAAUCCCCGAGCUUAACUUGGGAAUUGCAUUCGAUACUGGUUAGCUAGAGUGUGGGAGAGGAUGGUAGAAUUCCAGGUGUAGCGGUGAAAUGCGUAGAGAUCUGGAGGAAUACCGAUGGCGAAGGCAGCCAUCUGGCCUAACACUGACGCUGAGGUACGAAAGCAUGGGGAGCAAACAGGAUUAGAUACCCGAGUAGUCCCUGUCUCUUAUAC